rnacentral:rRNA from 1 species
GUGGGGAAUAUUGGACAAUGGGCGCAAGCCUGAUCCAGCCAUGCCGCGUGAGUGAUGAAGGCCCUAGGGUUGUAAAGCUCUUUCACCGAUGAAGAUAAUGACGGUAGUCGGAGAAGAAGCCCCGGCUAACUUCGUGCCAGCAGCCGCGGUAAUACGAAGGGGGCUAGCGUUGUUCGGAAUUACUGGGCGUAAAGCGCACGUAGGCGGAUAUUUAAGUCAGGGGUGAAAUCCCAGAGCUCAACGCUGGAACUGCCUUUGAUACUGGGUAUCUCGAGUAUGGAAGAGGUGAGUGGAAUUCCGAGUGUAGAGGUGAAAUUCGUAGAUAUUCGGAGGAACACCAGUGGCGAAGGCGGCUCACUGGUCCAUUACCGACGCUGAGGUGCGAAAGCGUGGGGAGCAAACAGGAUUAGAAACCCUUGUAGUCC